ensembl:lncRNA
GUGUGUGUGGAGGAUGAGGGAAAAAAGAAAGCUCAUGUGUGUGUUUGGACAGGGAUGUGAGAGAGCUGUGUGUGUGUGUGUGUGUGUGUGUGUGUUUGGACAGGGAUGUGAGAGCUGUGUGUGAGUGUGUGUGUGUGUUUGGACAGGGAUGUGAGAGAGCUGUGUGUGUGUGUGUGUGUGUGUGUGUGUGUGUUUGGACAGGGAUGUGAGAGCUGUGUGUGAGUGUGUGUGUGUGUUUGGACAGGGAUGUGAGAGAGCUGUGUGUGUGUGUGUGUGUGUGUGUGUGUGUGUUUGGACAGGGAUGUGAGAGAGCUGUGUAUGUGUGUGUGUGUUUGGACAGGGAUGUGAGAGCUGUGUGUGUGUGUGUGUGUUUGGACAGGGAUGUGAGAGAGCUGUGUGUGUGUGUGUGUGUGUGUGUGUUUGGACAGGGAUGUGAGAGAGCUGUGUGUGUGUGUGUGUGUGUGUGUGUUUGGACAGGGAUGUGAGAGAGCUGUGUGUGUGUGUGUGUGUUUGGACAGGGAUGUGAGAGAGCUGUGUGUGUGUGUGUGUGUUUGGACAGGGAUGUGAGAGAGCUGUGUGUGUGUGUGUGUGUGUGUGUGUGUGUGUGUGUUUGGACAGGGAUGUGAGAGCUGUGUGUGUGUGUGUGUGUUUGGACAGGGAUGUGAGAGAGCUGUGUGUGUGUGUGUGUGUUUGGACAGGGAUGUGAGAGAGCUGUGUGUCUGUGUGUGUGUGUGUGUGUGUUUGGACAGGGAUGUGAGAUCUGAAACUUGCCAUUGGACAUAUUAGAGGUGAGAUCAGGUGAGAGUGGAGUCUUCAAAGCUCUGUCGCCAUGACAACAGAAGAGCACUGGUACAUCUCAAUAAGCAGGAUGGCUGACUUUGUCAGGACUCUGGGUUUCACUCGGUUACGUUCACCAACCAAAUCAGACAUCGCUCCGCAAAACAGCUUCACAGGAAGUGUCAGAGAGAGAGCUGAUUGGAUGAGAUUCCUGGAUGACUCCAGUGAGAGGCAGUGAUGGGCUGACCUUGUCUAUGACCGACGCCCCUUAAUCAGCAUCCUUUCCCCAAAGGGUUAGCAGUAAAGACACCCCCCACCCACACACACCCACACAGUAAAGACACCAACCUGUUAGCACGCGCACGCACGCACGCACGCACGCACGCACGCACGCACGCACGCACGCACGCACACACGCACGCACGCACACACACACACACACACACAGUAAAGACACCAACCUGUUAGCACACGCGCACACACACACACACAAAGUAAAGACACCAACCUGUUAGCACACACACAAACACAGUAAAGACACCAACCUGUUAGCACACGCCAGCUGAUGAACAAACUACUUCAUCACAAUGAAGAGGGUACAGUGAUGAUACAGUCAGAGGUCAUGGGUCACAGUGAUGAUACAGUCAGAGGUCAUAGGUCACAGUGAUGAUACAGUCAUGGGUCACAGUGAUGAUACAGUCAGAGGUCACAGUGAUGAUACAGUCAGAGGUCAUGGGUCACAGUGAUUGUGCUUUUUAUUCACCAGUCUGGCUCUGACUGUGUUUGGGAGAGAGUAUGAGACACAUGUGCGUGUGUGUGUGUGUCAGGGAGAGAGAGAGAGAGAGAGUAUGAGUCGCAAGCGUGUGUGUGUGUGUGUGUCAGGGAGAGAGAGAGAGAGAGUAUGAGUCGCAAGCGUGUGUGUGUCAGGGAGAGGGAAAGAGUAUGAGAUAAGAUGUGGGUGUGUGAGAGAGUGCUUAUGAGACGCACGUGAGACAUAAUGUGUGUGAGAGAAAGUGAGACCUCUGUGUGUGAGAGAAAGUGUGUGUGUGAGAGAGGGUGAGACGUGCGUGUGUGUGUGAGAGAGAGUGAGAAGUGUGUGUGAGAGAGAGUGAGACAGGUGUGUGUGUGUGUGUGUGAGAGUGAGAUGUGUGUGUGUGUCAGAGAGUGAGACAGGUGUGUGUGAGAGAGAGUGAGACGGAUGUGUGUGUGUGUGUGUGUGAGAGAGAGAGAGUGAGAUGUGUUGUGUGUCAGAGAGUGAGACAGGUGUGUGUGUGUGUGAGAGAGAGAGUGAGACGGGUGUGAGAGAGAGAAGUCCACCUUUCGUUUGGCCAUUUUUGGGGGGAGAGAGACAGGCCACAAGCUAAACUUUGACUUCAGGUGAUGAGGCUGCAGACAGUGGGGCAAGGGCUCACGCUUGCGGGCCUAAAUUGACACAAGCUGUGUCUACUUGUGCACUUCAAACACUGACUUUCAGUGCUUAGGGCGUUCACACUGACAGAAUCAGCAGAAUGCAGGGCACUGAAAGUACCCGGAUGGCGCACUGCAAACGGUAAAAAACUGCAGUGUGAAACGAUGUACACUACUCGCCUUAAACGGGCGCCAUCUUGGCUACGUAGCGGAAGAGGAGGAGCCCUUUCGGCAGCUUUUCAUUUCUAAAAUACUGGCAGACGAGAUGGCUGACAAGACGGUGGCAAGACCUCAAGCUGAUGUAAAUGUAAGUAUCAGCGGUAAUUAAACAUUUUACUACCAACGGGGUGGUAGUGCAUUGUGGGACUUGCAUUAUUAGUGUUGAGUUUGACACAUGUGCUCUAACCUGUUAACAUAAGUGCCGAAAUGUAAUCACCAGGCAACGCAGCCGCCACCAACACGCAACGUUGGCAGUGUGAAACCAGGCUAAAUUGGUGAUUGGUGAAACGAGGAAUUGGAUACGCUCGCAGGUUAGGGUAAGGGAAGUGGUUAGGCUGGGAGAGCCACUCAAGAUUACAACCUGGGAUUGGGAUAGGGGAAUAACUGGGAUACGAACCCUGGUCACCUUAGGUACCGAAAGAGAACGGUAAGUAAUAUGCUGUAUUUGUGUCAAUGCCAUUGGUAAAUAUAGGGCUUUAAUCACCACACUGACUUCCCCAAUGACCAGGACUAAAGCAAGUGAGCGAGAGCAGAAGAGCAAACCUGUCUGGGCGAGACACCUCCAAAAAGCCAGUGUGAGAGUUUAUCUCAUACACACACCACAGCCUCCCCCCCACGGUGAGGCCAGAGAGUGACAGUGUUUGCGACAACCAUGCCUAAAUCCAUGUACACAGAAGGCUGUGGUGUCAACAGUGGUGUCAUAGGAUGUAUUAAAGAGAUUUUUUUUUGUUUUUAGUCUAGUUGGAUACAGUGAUUUCGCCAGUCCCCUUUGUUUUAGGUUUCAGGGGGUGGGCAUCGGGCCAUUAUGCAACCACCUUUCCUGCGGCGUCUUGCAGGUUAGGCUGUUGGCCUAAUGGUUGCCAAAUGUGUGAUGGUAUCUGGCACUCCCGAGAAACAAUGCCUCACCCCGUCUUCGCUCUGUUUACUCUCUUUUUUCACAAUCAACAUAUUGCAUGAUGUUCGUGCGUCAGUUACCCUUCAUGGGCACAUGAGCUACGCCCAAUGUCCUUCCAUCCAAUGUUACUCAUUCAAAAACCCGUUGUCUUGCAAUGUCUUUCACAAUGGGAAGGAAAGUCACACAAUCAGGAACCCUAACUAGGUUUACACAUUUCGUCUCUGCAUUGCUUUCGUAGGAAACUGACAUAUCUUUUGAAAUACAUUGUCAGUUAAUCCAUGGCUACCUGUUUCCCAGUCCUUGGCAUUGCUUUUAUUUAUACUAAGAAUGUUGCUUUGUUUGUGUGUGGAGCACUUUGAAAGGAUCUCCUUUAAUGCUUAUGUGUCCAUUGUUUGUUUUGCCAUGUCUCCUCAGCUUCUGCAUUUCUGGGAUUGGGUUUAUUUUUGUUCAUCUGUAUUUUCAGUUUCUCACAAAACUCAAUCUCCCUAGUUUUGUAUAACACUUGAAUGUUCUCAAUACAUUUGUCAAUUCUGUUUUUCUCAUUGUUUACAAUAUUCUGGUGUUUUUAAACGUGUCUUCAUAAAUUGAUGUGGAUUUAUUGGGAUACAGUGUUUUACU